rnacentral:rRNA from 1 species
AACGAACGCUGGCGGCGUGCUUAACACAUGCAAGUCGAACGCACCGCAAGGUGAGUGGCGCACGGGUGAGUAACGCGUGGGAAUCUACCUUUUGAUUCGGAAUAACAUCGGGAAACUGGUGCUAAUACCGGAUAAGCCCUUAUGGGGAAAGGUUUACUGCCGAAGGAUCGGCCCGCGUCUGAUUAGCUAGUUGGUGAGGUAAUGGCUCACCAAGGCGACGAUCAGUAGCUGGUCUGAGAGGAUAAUCAGCCACACUGGGACUGAGACACGGCCCAGACUCCUACGGGAGGCAGCAGUGGGGAAUAUUGGACAAUGGGGGCAACCCUGAUCCAGCCAUGCCGCGUGAGUGAUGAAGGCCUUAGGGUUGUAAAGCUCUUUUACCCGGGACGAUAAUGACUGUACCGGGAGAAUAAGCCCCGGCUAACUUCGUGCCAGCCGCCGCAGUAA